AUGAUUAGAUCGGACAUUAUUAGUCCAAGCCUCGAGUCUUAAAUUAUAAUGUCACUAGUUGAAUGGGUCGUUAAAUAGUGGCUGAAUGCCUUGAUUCAAGCCAAAGUCAUGCAGCUGCGACAGUGGCGUUCGUGUCUGUCAAGUCAAAAAGCCGUUUCGAGAAAUAAAAAGGUUCCAUUGGCCUAAAUUCAGUUAGACUGGAGUAAAGUGUACCGUUACUAUAACUGGGAAGAAAAGGCAGCCAGAAAUACUCGGCUAAACCAUUAGGAGCGGCGAACUAAAAGGAAAUCUACUCGAGUUAGCUGUACCAUGAACAAAUCGAAAUUUCUAGCACUCUCACUCUUUUUUUUUUUAACUCUUCAUGUAAUAUUCUCAAUUUAUUUGUUUUAACAAAUCCAGAAAGACUGGAAUUGGUUUCUGUGUCAAUUUAACAGUACAAAUUUCUUAAAAAACAAGAUAUUUAAGUAAAAUCAACUUUAUGUGAACAGACGAAAAAUGUAGGUGAAAAUGGUUAAAAUAUAUUGACAAGUAGAGUAGUUCACAAUCUAAACUAUCUAAAGUACGUGAUAACUAUGUUAUGAAUAUAGUACAAAGAACAGUAAACUAUAUCUUAGCUAGUUAUUGACAAACAUUGACCUUAAACACAAUUCUUACAAACAACUUGUGUUCCAACAAUGUGGUUGUAAAUAUUAAAAUAUACGUAAGAUAAUUAUCACACACACUAUCAAACACCAGUAAUCAAAAACACGGAUAUUAUUGUUACAAACAAAGUGGAACAAAAGACACAUACAAUAAAACCAAGUACUACAAACCACAAACAUUUUGACUUUCGGGCCCAGUGAAUGUCCGUUUGGGCGGGCAAAAUCUUCUGGUGUGUUUAAUCAACUAUUCGGCGUUGUGAGAGUCAACGUUUAUAAUCAGUAUUCAAAUAAACUAUAGUAAAUUUUUACUUAUUCUGUACGGUUACUCAGAGUGAAAUAUUCCAUAAUGCUCAUAUCAUUGUGAUAAGUUUAAUAAAAAUAAACUAUAUG